GUGAAGGUGAACAAUGCAACAACGCACACACUACUGACACGGUUGCAGGGCACAAAGUCACGUACUCACUGUAACAUCCCGCUGCCCGUGAGUGGACAAUGCAACCAAUUUACUUUUCAACACAAGCGACCGAGACAAUAAAAGUUAAUGUAUUAUUGACUUGUUGCCGACAGGUUGGAAGGACAAUGAAGACAGAUUACUGCUGCUGCUGAUAUAGUCAGAGUUUGGACACAAAGGCACAAGAUACAAAAAGAAUUGAACGUGAGUUUGAUGAGACAGACUGUCAGUGAAACAGCUGACCAAUGGUAGGAAUGCAGUACAGACAUUGAACUAGGACUUAAACUUACAAAUCUCAUAAUCGGUGAAACGACCUCACAAUAAUAUAGAUCUAGUGUACAGUACAAACCAACAAAGCUCUAUGCGUUAAAUGACCUCACAAUAAUAUAGAUCUAGUGUACAGUACAAACCAACAAAGCUCUAUGCGUUAAAUGACCUCACAAUAAUAUAGAUCUAGUGUACAGUACAACAAACCAACCAAGCUCUAUGCGUUAAAUGACAUCACAAUAAUAUAGAUCUGGUGUACAGUACAACAAACCAACAAAGCUCUAUGCGUUAAAUGACCUCACAAUAAUAUAGACCUAGUGUACAGUACAACAAACCAACAAAUCUCUAUGCGUUAAAUGACCUCACAAUAAUAUAGAUCUAGUGUACAUUACAACAAACCAACAAAGCUCUAUGCGUUAAAUGACCUCACAAUAAUAUAGAUCUAGUGUACAGUACAAACCAACAAAGCUCUAUCCUCUAUCUAUUCAAUUGUCUUCCAUAGUGUUCGCUUUAUAAAGACACAGAGGAUCUACGUUAUGUGUGUGCUCUCGUUAUGUGUGUGCUCUCGUUAUGUGUGUGCUCUUCCAUUAUCUACCAAACAUGAAGUUGAUAGAAUUUUAAUUUAUACAAGAAAUGUAUUUUUCUAUUUGAUACAUAUAUCAUUUAAAUCUGAUCUCUCUCUCUCUCUCGGUAUUACUUCAUUCUAGUAUCUCUCUCUUCAAAUUCUCGUUAAUUCCUCUUCGGAUUCCUUUUUUCCUCUUUUAAUGUUCCCCAUUCUCUUUCUGACUCUCUCUCUCUCUCUCUCUCUCUCUUUCUUCUCACUAAUAUCAUCAAAUAAAAGUAUGAAAUAUCUAAGCACGAUUAAAUAUAUAUAUAAAGAUUUAUUGCUACUAAACUAUAAUGUAAAACGACCAUCUCCUGAAAUGAUCAGGUGAAACAAAUUUUAAAAAAAAAGAACUACUUACAUGUCAAGAUUAACAAACACAUAAUGACAAACAAAUUACAUCUAAUGGAUACACAUAUUAGCAGUUUAGUUUAUUUUACUACACACAGGUAUUGACAUACUUGAAUAUUAGAAAUGAAACAAUAGAACAGGACGAGUCAUUCGUGUCUUCGUGACAAGGGCUGGUGUCACAAAGUGCGGUUCAACCCCUGAUGUUUUAUAUUCACGCUACUCAAAUUUAUAUAUAUAUAUAAAAUCAACAAAGAGUAAAAACAAAAAAAAUUAACAGAACAGAAUAUAUACAGCAAGUGUUUUGAAAAGUUUCUUCCACACUGUUAAAUUUCUGCCCCAAAAAGUUAAAGUGUUUAAUCAAUAGAAACAAAUAGCAGCGAAUAAUUGUAACAACAUUGGUUUGGUGAUACGCAAGCUGUGAUCGAUGUUCCGCCUAUAUGUCUGGCUGAAGUUCUAAAAUGGGUAUUCUUCCAUGAGUCUUUGUCAUUUCUCUAAGCCGCUCAUUAUUUACUGGACGAUAACAGGGGAGACAAAUCAUAACACAACUAAAGGAGAAAACAAAUAAAUUAAGUUUUCAAGUGUGUUUGUUUAAACUAUUAAAACCCAGAGUAAAA
rnacentral:sRNA from 1 species